rnacentral:lncRNA from 1 species
GCCACCCACCGCCAGCACCACCACUACCACCGUCGACACCACCUAUAAUGUCAAUUGUCAAAGACAAAAAUAACCUACCCACCCAACCAUCUCAUUAUCAGCAGUAAAAACCAUGGCUUCUUCAUCAAUGGCGAAAUCAAAUUUCCACCACCCAACCAUCUGCCAUUGCAGUCACCAAUUUCCAAUCCAAUUUUUGAAACCGAACAAAAAGGUGAGGGUAAUUAUCCUUGAACAGUGGGGCAAAUGGUGAAGUCGGAAUAACUGUUCAAAAUUGGAGAAAUUGGAUUGGAAUUUGGAGACGGAAUAAAUAUAAUCCAUCUUUAGACUCCUAAUUGAUGUUCUGAAGAAAGUGAAUAUCUCAGAAAAUGAAAUUUUGUGCUAAUGGUAUUCUGGCGUUAUUGAGUUUUUGGGUUUUCCAGUGGUAUUUCAAAGCCAGUAACAAGUAAGAUCCGAGGUUUACCAUUAACAUAAUUUGGAAAUUCAGGAUUUUUUCUGAAGCCAUACCUUUUGGUCUUCGUCCCAUGUACUGAUUCUCGGCCCAAGAGCGUAAGCAACAUUGGGGUUCAAAAAUUCUUUAAUCGGGUCAUCCGGAUCAGUUGAGUCCUUAUCAGACUUGAUCUUGAGAGAAGUCCAUGGGGGAUUACAGAGGCAGCGCGGCCACGAACAUCAUUUGCUGCGGCAAUUGUCGGCAGCCAGCUGGAGACUCUCUUUUGAGGAAGAAGAUGACGUGACCUAUUCCUUUUCUCAUAUAAUAUUAACAUCAUA